CACCUCUCGGGGUCGCACCUGGAGAGUUUCCAGUACUCUCCCAGUCUCAGCUACGGGAGGGAUAAUCAAGCAGAGGCCUACACUUUCCGUUCCUAGCUUGGCCAGUGGCUAGCGAAUGGAAGGCAAUCUGCUCCGUGU